rnacentral:rRNA from 1 species
AACGAACGCUGGCGGCAGGCCUAACACAUGCAAGUCGAACGGUUGUAGCAAUACAGCCGUGGCGCACGGGUGAGUAACGCGUGGGAAUCUGCCCAGUAGUACGGAAUAACAGUUGGAAACGACUGACAAUACCGUAUACGCCCUUCGGGGGAAAGUUUUUCGCUAUUGGAUGAGCCCGCGUCAGAUUAGCUAGUUGGUGGGGUAAUGGCCUACCAAGGCGACGAUCUGUAGCUGUUCUGAGAGGAAGACCAGCCACACUGGAACUGAGACACGGUCCAGACUCCUACGGGAGGCAGCAGUGGGGAAUAUUGGACAAUGGGCGAAAGCCUGAUCCAGCCAUGCCGCGUGAGUGAUGAAGGCCUUAGGGUUGUAAAGCUCUUUUGGCGGGGAAGAUAAUGACGGUACUCGCAGAAUAAGUUCCGGCUAACUUCGUGCCAGCAGCCGCAGUAA